rnacentral:rRNA from 1 species
GCGCGAAAACUUCACACUGCAGGAAACUGUGAUGAGGGAACUCCAAGUGACUGCACAAUGUGUAGCCUUUUCUUGAAUCUUAAUAGUUCUUGGAAUAAGGGCUGGGAAAGACCGGUGCCAGCCGCCGCGGUAAUAUCGGCAGCUCAAGUGGUCGUCGCUUUUAUUGGGCCUAAAACGUCCGUAGCCUGUUUGGUAAAUCUGUGGGUAAAUCAACGAGCUUAACUCGUUGAAUUCUGCAGAGACUGCCAGACUAGGGACCGGGAGAGGUAUGAGGUACUCUGGGGGUAGGGGUAAAAUCCUGUCAUCCUCAGAGGACCACCUGUUGCGAAGGCGUCAUACUGGAACGGAUCCGACGGUCAGGGACGAAGCCUAGGGGCACGAACCGGAUUAGAUACCCGGGUAGUCCUAGGUGUAAACGCUGUGGAUUUGGUGUGUGGGGUCCGCAAUGGGCCCCAUGUGCCGGAGUGAAGAUGUUAAAUCCACUGCCUGGGGAGUACGGUCGCAAGGCUGAAACUUAA